AGCUAAACGGCUGUUGAAAAUUUUAAGAGGGAGGUUUCAGGGAAGCUCUCCCGACCUGCAAGUGCUUUGAAGUUCUGAUUGGCCCUAAUGGCUCCUGUGACAGGAGUGAAAAGUGAGCGUCGGAGGGGAAACGUGUGAAAUCUUCCUAUAGAGGAAAGAGGUUUAUAUCCAAGAAAGAAAAUCCAACUUCAAAAUAAACGUUAAGUGUAAAC